GGUGGCUCAGUGGUAGAGCACUUGCCUUUAAUGCCUGAGGCCCUGGGUUCAAUUCCUCAGCACCA
rfam:Dipodomys ordii contig_72821, whole genome shotgun sequence.